rnacentral:lncRNA from 1 species
CAUUGAUGACUUUCACCGACACAAAUAGCUGUAAUAAAGACAAUUCUACUGUAACAUACUGUGUUCACUCUACCUUUAUACAGGGUCAGAAAAUGGUUGCCAGGUGACAGACAGUGAUGUCAGCGACUCAGUACAAACAGCAUCCAGGGCCAGGCAGUCUGUACAGAAAAUAUACAUACAGGAUCAUCUCCACGGUCAUUUAACACAGGCCAAAAUCUAAGUAGCUCAACAUGCUGACAUCAAACAAGGUGUACCUCAUUUUAUCAACAAACCAACUUAUAAUGCCAAAUUUUCGCAGGACAGAUGGUGGCAGUAUAACAAGCUUUGAAUUUGGUAUUGUGGAUGAGGAUUAGCUAGAUCUGCUGGAAGAACAGUUCAAUGAAUGUUGAAUGUAACUUAACAUCAUUAAAAUAUUUAAGUUCUAAUUUAAUAUCUCUUUUUCUUA